rnacentral:tRNA from 1 species
CCCUGGUGACUCAGAAGGUAAAGAAUCUGUCUGCAAUGCAGGAGACCUGGGUUCAAACCCUAGAUCAGGAG